UGAGGGGAUAGGGAGGGCAGGUCCAGGGAGAAAGGGAUAGGGAGUACAGGUCCAGGGAGUCAGGGAUAGGGAGUGCAGGUCCAGGGAGUCAGGGAUAGGGAGUGCAGGGAGACAGGGAGUGCAGGGAGACAGGGAUAGGGAGUGCAGGGAGACAGGGAUAGGGAGGGCAGGGAUAGGGAGGGCAGGGAGACAGGGAUAGGGAGGGCAGGGAGACAGGGAUAGGGAGGGCAGGGAGACAGGGAUAGGGAGGGCAAGGAGACAGGGAUAGGGAGUGCAGGGAGACAGGGAUAGGGAGUGCAGGGAGACAGGGAUAGGGAGUGCAGGGAGACAGGGAUAGGGAGUGCAGGGAGACAGGGAUAGGGAGUGCAGGGAGACAGGGAGUGCAGGGAGACAGGGAUAGGCAGUGCAGGGAGACAGGGAUAGGGAGUGCAGGGAGACAGGGAUAGGGAGUGCAGGG
ensembl:lncRNA